GCCCCUCACCAUCGCCCUCGCCCUCACACUACCCCUCCUCUACAUUUUUUUUGGCAGCUGUCGCAAAAGGCUUUCAGAAAGAGAAAGAUAGACAGAGAGAGAACGAACGCUUUAGUGUAUUUCUAGGUUAUGGUCAAGGCAACGACUACGCAGAUUUGAAGGCUAAAAAGUCAGAGAGAGUGUGUGUGUGUGUGUGUGUGAGUGUGAGUGAGAGGGGCACACUCACCCUGGCACACAUACUAAUUUGCAGAAUUCUUUGAGUGAUAACUGUUUCUGCUGCCCCUUUUGCUGCUUUCAUUUGUUUACGCGUCAUGCCACAGGUAAGCAAAACGCGAGAGUGAUAAACAGGGGAGUGCAGCAGCAGAGGCGGACGUAAGGUAUAUUAAAUAUAAGGUGCGAAGAGAAAAACUGGCAGGGUCCAGUAGGGACUAGUUUUGGUUUGCCAGAACACACACUUUUUUCUCUCUCUCUCUCACUGUGUGGGUAAAUGCAGCUGAGGCAGGUUUUACUUUGCUGUUGCCACUCUGCCAGACAGCCUCCCCUGCUAUUGAAUGUACCUUGGGUAGAACUAGAGGGAGAAGCAGCAGAAAAGGUAGAAUUUUAGUAAGAGGGAGAGGAGGAGAACUGCGCAACUGCUGAUUAGAACAUUAGCUUGUGACAGAUAAAAGUCUGUUGAACUUUUGGAAAAGUACAUUCAAUAAAUUAUUUUUUAUUUUGAUUUUGUUGUUUUGCAGUAUUUUGUUUUUGAGCAGCAGCAGCGACGCGCCGCUAAUUUUAGCGCUGCUUUCAAAACAAACAAACAAGUCUCUCUCCCACGCUCGCUCUCUCAAACUCGCUCUCUAUCUCGCGGCAGCUCCAGUGCAAGGUGUAUGUUAUCCGGUGAGCUUGCAAAUAUUCAAGGACUUUCACUUCAAUUUUGACGGAUGCGACUCGACUCCCGCAAUCAAGAGUGCGCUCUUUGAACGCCCCACCUUAUGGAAAAACACUUUGUCUGGCCGCGGUCGCUCUUCCAGAUUGCACGUGUAUGCGAUAAUAAGAGAGCGGGCACCACCGCUUACACGUAAGCUCCAGCGCUUAAGAAUGGUCUACUAGAAGCUGGCCGCGGGGCGGGAGUGAGAGGUGAAUGACAGACAGACGAAGAGCAUAAGAGAGCGGUGGUGGUGGUGGCGGCGGUGGGAGAGGGAAGUAAAUAAAGCGGCGUUUCUGCCGCCACUGACGUCAACAAAUGGGGAGAUGUGGCAAGCUUUUGGAAAACUCUUCAGUUCACAUAAAUCUAUGCAAUUAUCCAUAAUACCCAAAAAUUUACCUGGUUUUGGAGCUCAAAUUGGAUAUUGAGUACGCACACACAUAUGCACCUAGGGAUACACCAACACACACAUCUAAUUAUGCACUUUUCAGUACUUUAUUCCUUUUAACUUUAGCACCGCAAAAAUAAAAACAUUAUUUUGUAAGGCUGAUUAA